GACGAACGCUGGCGGCGUGCUUAACACAUGCGAGUCGAACGGAAAGGCCCUGCUUUUGUGGGGUGCUCGAGUGGCGAACGGGUGAGUAACACGUGAGUAACCUGCCCUUGACUUUGGGAUAACUUCAGGAAACUGGGGCUAAUACCGGAUAGGAGCUCCUGCUGCAUGGUGGGGGUUGGAAAGUUUCGGCGGUUGGGGAUGGACUCGCGGCUUAUCAGCUUGUUGGUGGGGUAGGGGCUUUCCAAGGCUUUGACGGGUAGCCGGCCUGAGAGGGUGACCGGCCACAUUGGGACUGAGAUACGGCCCAGACUCCUACGGGAGGCAGCAGUGGGGAAUAUUGCACAAUGGGCGGAAGCCUGAUGCAGCAACGCCGCGUGCGGGAUGACGGCCUUCGGGUUGUAAACCGCUUUCGCCUGUGACGAAGCGUGAGUGACGGUAAUGGGUAAAGAAGCACCGGCUAACUACGUG
rnacentral:rRNA from 1 species